UACGAAGGGGGCUAGCGUUGCUCGGAAUCACUGGGCGUAAAGGGUGCGUAGGCGGGUUGUUAAGUCAGGGGUGAAAUCCUGGAGCUCAACUCCAGAACUGCCUUUGAUACUGAAGAUCUUGAGUGCGGGAGAGGUGAGUGGAACUGCGAGUGUAGAGGUGAAAUUCGUAGAUAUUCGCAAGAACACCAGUGGCGAAGGCGGCUCACUGGCCCGAUACUGACGCUGAGGCACGAAAGCGUGGGGAGCAAACAGG
rnacentral:rRNA from 1 species